rnacentral:rRNA from 1 species
AUUGAACGCUGGCGGCAGGCCUAACACAUGCAAGUCGAGCGGUUGAGGUAGCUUGCUACCGAUGCAGCGGCGAACGGGUGAGUAAUACAUGGGAAUCUGCCUGGUAGUGGGGGACAACGUCUCGAAAGGGACGCUAAUACCGCAUACGCCCUACGGGGGAAAGGGGGGGAUCUUCGGACCUCUCGCUAUCAGAUGAGCCCAUGUCAGAUUAGCUAGUUGGUAGGGUAAAGGCCUACCAAGGCGACGAUCUGUAACUGGUCUGAGAGGAUGAUCAGUCACACUGGAACUGAGACACGGUCCAGACUCCUACGGGAGGCAGCAGUGGGGAAUAUUGGACAAUGGGCGCAAGCCUGAUCCAGCCAUGCCGCGUGUGUGAAGAAGGCCUUAGGGUUGUAAAGCACUUUCAGUGGGGAGAAAGGUUAUUCACCUAAUACGUGAGUAAAUUGAUGUUACCCACAGAAGAAGCACCGGCUAACUCCGUGCCAGCAGCCGCCGUAA